UUUGAGAAACAAACCCUAACCAAACAACAUCCCAGCAGACAUCUGCUUCCGCUCUCUCUCGACAUUAUAUCCGGCGACUGGAGCCGGAGAUUCGACUGAGCUCCGGUGACUCGUUUUUGUCGGCACCGAGCUCCCAUCACACCCAACCACCUCUCCUUCCACCCACACCCUCGGUUCCCUCUCCCUCAUUAGAAAACCGGUGGCGGUUUUGCUCAUCGGCGGCACACAAGCACCCCCUUCGGCUGUCCAAGCGACGACCACCACCAUCGGGUGGUGGUGAGUGACGAGCACAGAAAAAGGAAAGAGGGAGGCAGACGAGGCGGAGACAGGCGACGACGCCACCGCGAAGCGGCGGAGACGGUGGAUUCCGACAAAACUUCAUGUGGUGGAGGUGGAGCCGUGACGGUGGUGGUGGCCGACGGAGAUGUUGGCCGACGACGGUGACGAAGACAGCCAACAACAAGCUUGAGUGUUAUUUGGUUGCUUCGGGUUCCUCUCCGAUCAGACUCGAGUCUAGGUUAGUACGCGUUCGGUACAGAUUUGUUUGGGUUUUGUUCGAGUUCAGAUUUGGUUCGGGUUUGCUUCACUCGGUUCAGCUUUGAUGUUUGGUUCGAUUACGGUUCAUCUCAUAUUUGGUUUAAGAUUCGGUCUACUCAGUCAGGUUCGAGUUAACUCAGCUGCGGUUCGGGUUAAACCCGGUUGACUCGGUCAACACCCGAGUCAACUCGGGUCAACAGAUAGUCAACUCGGUCAAAGAUCAGUCAACAGAAGACCGGUAACGAAUUUAAUCGAAGCGAGUUAUCAUACGUUAAAUUAGAUUUUAUUAUAGUUAUACGCGACCGAGCUCGACCCAAAACGAUUACAUAUUAGUUUACCGUUGAUACAAUUGACGAAAUUUACAUAUAUAGUGUUAUGUUGUUGAAAAUUGUUUGAAGUUUGAAGAAUA